rnacentral:lncRNA from 1 species
AUUCCUGAAUGCGUUGCGGCCAAAUUUAGACAACACUUUUCUACAAAGGUUUUUCCGAAAUCUUUCGAAUUGGAUGAGUUUACCUGGUAUAUACGUGUUGUCACCAAUUUCAGCCCGCCCUGGUCACUGCAGCCGGACGCGAUGUGUUCAUACACUGUGAUCCGGUAGAGCAGUAGAAGAGACGACAGGGCUACAAGGAAAUGAUCGUGUGUUUGAAGAAAUUGCGCAAGAUGGGUGUUAUUACGAGCAAGACAGGAGAACUUUCUGAGAAUCCGGACGAAGACAUUGUAGUCACUGAUGCCAGUCGCAACCAGGAGCCGAAUGAAGAAGCCCCAGAUUAACCUGGAAUUGCAUACAAAAUUUUAUCAUUCAUGCACACCUAGAAAAAUUGUAACAAUUACAUUGUGAAAAACAUAAUUAGGAAAGCGUACCUUCUUAGGAUUACAUCUUUGGAGGCAAAUAAAGUACUAGGCUUGACUAACA